AUUCCCAAAGAAAAUAGUUUUUUCGUUUAAGUUCCUUUGAAACACACACAUAUCCAUAUGCGUAUCCGUAUAUGUAUCUAUUUGGAUUUGCACCAGUGUGGGUGUGAGGGCGAAGGCGCAGGUGGCUGAGACAGGAGAGAGCAGACGGCUUGGUGGUGGUGUGGUAUGGACCUCUUCCCUGGCCCCUUGGUCGCCUUAGACUUGGAGAACGGAGUGACAGACAGAGACAGAAGUGAGGCACCAAGGAGGAAGCGCGCCAUUGCCAAGACCCCAAGGAGGAAGCAUGCAGGCGUCUGGCAGUCCUGCCUGGCAUGGGCCAGCUCCCUCUGAAGAAGGCCCACUGCUCUGUCGCAUCUCUGGAAGUGGGUGGCAGUUCUACAAGAAGCAAGGUGGUUUCCACAGAAGAGGCAAGAGCAGUGAGGCAUUCGACCAAGGGGGAGAAGCAACACCAUUGACUCCUGGGGACAUGGCAUUCUGCUCUGGGCUGUGCCAACUCAGCCUUGUGCCCACCAGAAUAGCUCACAGUGCCUCUCUCUCUGGAGUUGGGAGUGCUGCUGCUGCUGCUGCUGCUGUCUGGUCCGAAGAAGGGGUUGGGGCAGGUUCCCAGGUCGUUCAUGGAGCAGUGACUGACAAAUGGAAACCCCAAUCCCAGGGCUGCCUGAAUUUAAUGAAGAUUAAGAAGAGUGCCGCUAGAGUUGUUUCACCGGAGAUGGGCAUUUCUGAGACUGGCACUUGUGCGCAUCAAUAAAUAAAAAUGUUCUUUAUCCCCUCA